rnacentral:rRNA from 1 species
GACGAACGAGGGGGGAGGGAGGAACACAGGCAAGUCGAACGGAAAGGCCCUGCUUUUGUGUGGUGCUCGAGUGGCGAACGGGUGAGUAACACGUGAGUAAAAUACCCUUGACUUUGGGAUAACUUCAGGAAACUGGGGCUAAUACCGGAUAGGAGCUCCUGCUGCAUGGUGGGGGUUGGAAAGUUUCGGCGGUUGGGGAUGGACUCGCGGCUUAUCCCCUUGUUGGUGGGGUAGUGGCUUACCAAGGCGGGGACGGGGAGCCGGCCUGAGAGGGUGACCGGCCACAUUGGGACUGAGAUACGGCCCAGACUCCUACGGGAGGCAGCAGUGGGGAAUAUUGCACAAUGGGCGGAAGCCUGAUGCAGCAACGCCGCGUGCGGGAUGACGCGCUUCGUUUUGUAAACCGCUUUCGCCUGUGACGAAGCGUGAGUGACGGUAAUGGGUAAAGAAGACCCGGCUCCCUACGUU